UAACGAAUCUUGRCAACGGAUAUCUCGGCUCUCGCAUCGAUGAAGAACGUAGCGAAAUACGAUAMUUGGUGUGAAUUACAGAAUCCCAUGAACCAUCGAGUCUUUGAACGCAAGUURCGCCCUAAGCCUUUAGGGAGAGGGCACGUCUGCCUGGGUGUCAUG
rnacentral:rRNA from 1 species